AGCAGAUUAGAAACAGGAUAGCUGCAUCUUUGGCAAGAUAUAUUUCGGUAUAUCUAAUUGAUUUGAGGUCAUUGCAGGGCGUAAUGCCCUCAGCUUGUUGGUAGAGUUUCAACGGAUACGAAGGUAGAGUUUGUCUAUGAAAUUGUCACAGUUAACGCGAUGUGCAAGUGGGUCAUGAUUGGUAAGCAGAAUUGGCAAUGUGGGAUGAACAAAAAGGGGAACUAAGGUGCGUUAGUUAUAGAGCAUGAGACCCAAUAAAAGGUGUUGUUUGAUAUUGUCAGCAGGACGGGGGCCAAAGAAGUCGGUACCCGGUAAUUCGAAAUUCAUUUGUACUCCUCCCGUAAUCCAAUGUGAUAUCAUUUUUGACUCCACCUCUUUCCCAGAUAUAAUUUAUCAUACAUUCUGGUCUUGCU
rnacentral:ncRNA from 1 species